AACCGGACAUCAGAUUUGGUGAAUUGGAACGACUUGAUAUAAGUGAGAAGAUUUUACACAUCUUUGGGAUUCUUUGCAGAAGGUCUGCAAAUGAGAAGUUGUCCUCAUCCUCGAGAACAAUUACAUAACUAAAAUUUUUUAAGGAAACAUGGCGAAAAUAUAUUUGUGGAUACUUGCGAUUCUCGGAGCCUUAAACGUUGCGCUUGGGAGACUUUUGUACAGAGGUGACGUUUUGUUGGAGAAUGUUCGCAUGUUUGUUUCGCCAUACUUGACCCCGUCAAAUAAUUCAAUUAUCAGAUACCUUUAAGGCUGCAGCUCCGCAUCAUCACGAUGACACCUUAGAUCCAGUCAUCUCCUUUUUAAAGCAGCUUCGAAAGGCGAGGAAACAUGGGGGCGGUGGUGGGGGAGGGAUUCUGGGGAAUCGAGAUGAAGAUGUCCCAUUAACAAGUCAGCAAAGUCAACAAAGUCAAAGUUCAAGUCAAAGUCAGCCCACUGUCCCAAUUCUGUUCCCGUCGGGUGGGGGUGGCUCGUCCGGUGGAUCCGGAUCAAAUCUCAACGACCAAAGGAUCACGGAUCAGAUUUUAGCCAAUUUUCCCAGACCCACUUCAUCUCCGCAAGAUAUUACGAGAAUCAACAGUGGAGUCAGCACCAUCUUAAAUGGCGUGGCUAGAUUCGACUUAGGUCAAAUAUUGCGGGGUGCAUUUAUAUUCCCAACAAACAACAAUGUGAAAAGUGUGGCGAACAAUGUGCUUGAUACCAUUUUUGGCCCACCAGGCGGCGGCGGAGGUGGUGAAGGAUCGUCAUCGUCUGCUGGUGGAGAUUCUACUCGUACCAGAAACUAAUUCAUUUACACCAAAUACAUAAAAAUACAGAGAGCUAUAUAUUUUUUCCUAUUUUACAACUAUUAUUUAUUAGUCUCAUUCAUGGGUCAUCUCUUCUUUAUUUAUUUGGUGUAAAUGAAAAUGAUGUUUGACCAGUGCAUACAAACAUGUGUAGUCAACACAUAGUUAAAAUCAUUUAAAUUGUCAUUUUCGAAUUGUUUAAUUACUAAAUGUAUGUAAUUAGAGAUUCCAUAACCAUAAAUAUUUUAUUGGGUUAUGCAAUUAAAUAAACGAUCGAAUGUGAUCAAUUGUGUUGGGCACACAAAUCUAG